UUCUCUUCUCUCUCUCUCUCUGUUCGUUCUCUGUUCUUCUCAUCUCCUUAUUCACUUCUUUUGAGGACAUCGCAGCUACUUUGGAGGUGGUUGUAGAAUGAAGCCAUGCAAUUGCAGAAGCUCCGAAUCGAGUCCUCCAUUUCUUUCUGACUCACACUCACUCCAAAGCCUCAAUUCUUCUUUUUCAUUUUUGUUGAGAGCUUGGUUUUUGUUAGCAGCUCAAAUUCUGGAAUGGCGAGUCGGUCGUCUCCGUCGUCUCCACCGUCCUCUGCUUCCAACUCCGACCACUACCCCACUCAACCCACCUCGACCCGAUCCACCAAAAAUGCGGGGCUCUCUUGCCCCGAUCUUGGCCCUCCUCGCCCUCCUAAUUUGCCCCUCUCCUCCACUAGGCUCACCUCCCCGCGGCCUCCACCACUUUUCUCUCUCUCCACAAAGCCUUCCUGCCAACCCACCACCAAGUCCAACUCGACCGCCGCCACCGCCCAUGUCCUCCACUGGCCUUCAAGAGGACAUGGGACGCAGUUCCAUAUUUUUGCAAUGAAUGUUUCUGUCCCAAUUUUAAUUCAAUGCAAGCAAUUCAACUAUUUUUUCGAGCCGGGUUUACUGAAGGUUUGGGUGCACAAGAAGAAUGGAAGAGUGGGUUUGUGGGUUGAAGAUUUAAGGAGGAUGUUUGUGGGGUUUGCGGUUUUAGCAAAGCAAAAUGAGUUUGAUGGGACAUGCUGGGAAGCGAAGAGCCUUUGGCAGAGUCAGAGUCGCAACUGAGGGCUCAACUUCAGUUGACGCUUUGGCUGAUGACUAUUACUCUGUCUUGGGUUUGGUUUGUAUAUGUUACUAUAGCAGUAUGGCUUCCAGAUGCAACACCAGCACAGAUCAAGAAAGCCUAUUACAAUUGUAUGAAGGCUUGUCAUCCUGACUUGAGUGGUGAUAAUCCGGAGACAACAAAUUUCUGUAUGUUCAUCAAUGAGGUCUAUGAGGUGGGUUUCCCUACGGAGCUUAAUGCUUUGAGCUCGAAGCGGGAGAGAUGGGUGCCCAGAUCAGAUUUGGAUCCCAUAAAAAUGAAUGGACGAAAGUUCCCCUAUAAAUUUGCCAGCUGGUAAGCUCCGUAACGGAGUUAACGUCCAUAUGCACCAAUUCUCGGUCGGGCAAACAACCUCAGGUAUCGAAGUUAUAUUUUUUUUAAUUUCAGGUACCAAAAGUCAUAAGGAGGCAAAGUUCAGGUACCGUACCAUUUUCCCUUACAUAAAUGUUUUCUCUAUGAUGCGGGAAGCAUGAAUUUUCUUGAUUCUUCUAAUAUUCAGGUUAGUCCAUCCUUCAUGUUCUAGAGAAUUUUAUACUUGGAAUAGUUUGGGGCUAAUCAUGUCAUGGGAAUUAACAAUUAGGACAUGUGGGUAUACUUAUUUAUAUUUGUUGUCUUCACCCUUUGGCAAUAUAAGCCAGGAGAGAAGAAGUGAGGAGAAGGGAGAUAAAUUUGUAACUUCCUCGUUUUUUGUUGUUGGGCUGGGGCGGGGUUGGGUUAAGGAAUUAAAAAUAUCUUUGGAAAUAAAUCAAAUAAUGUAUUGAAUCAUUUCUGGUAUGAUCUCUCCACUUCAAAACGACAUGUGAACUGGUGUCGUUUUUCUCUUCUUCUUUUCACGGUUCCUCCCAAUGCCUGUAGAUUUAAAAUGGAAAUUUUCAUCUCUCUUUGCCCUUAAUGCAGACUGGACUCCCAAUACUUGUGUCUCUUCCAAUCAUUUUUUCCCUUCUUCUCUUCUAUCCUAAACCGACUUUUGAAAGUUUCUUCAGUGUCGUCUGCCACUGCACUUCAUGUCUUACCAAAUGAAAUUCACUUGUUUUCAGCUGGAUCUCUUACCAUAAGAACAUAUUCCAUUUAAAUGCUGGAACCAUCCAGCUAUAUUUCUUCCUCAUUUCUGGAAUCUUGAAUAAAUGUCUACUGGUUGGAAUGCUGUAAUAUAAUAAUAAUAGUAUCUGCCAUGAUCUAUUUUGUUACUGAUUUAGGAUGCACGUAUUUUCAGGUUCUACAUCUAAGCCCAUUGUUUCCCAACUUUUUAUAGAACCUCCAGUUUCUCUAGAGGAGCAUGUGACAUUCCGUCUGUGGAAGAAGUUGAUGAAUUAUUGGUUGUUUGUAUCGGUCAAAUGGCUGACUGCAGGAAGUGAUCUUCUAUGGAAGCCCUUGAAUUAUGAGUUUGCUGAUGCAGACACGCAGUGACAAGGUCCAUGCAAGAAUUUUGGCGGAAUUUUGGGCUUGAGAAUUAUUAAAUAUCUUGUGGAGCGUCUAAGAGAAGAAUAUCGGGUAUUUGUUCCAGAAACAGAUAUCCCUUCUUUGCUGAGUUGCUCGAGGAUGUUGAGCCUUCUGUUAAAUCUCUGGCACAAGAAAUCUUCAACGAAUUGAGCACCAUGACUGGUGAAGACCUCUCGCAGUAUAUCUGAAUGCGAUAUUAUAGUCCCCACCUGACCAUGUUAGACAGGAAAGAUGUUGAUAGCUAAAUUUAUAAACUAUUGAUUUUCCUUAUUCA